CGUAGGGACCAAGCGUUGUUCGGAUUUACUGGGCGUAAAGGGCGCGUAGGCGGCCUAACAAGUCACUUGUGAAAUCUCCGGGCUUAACUCGGAAUGGCCAAGUGAAACUGUCAGGCUAGAGUGCAGAAGGGGCAAUCGGAAUUCUUGGUGUAGCGGUGAAAUGCGUAGAUAUCAAGAGGAACACCUGAGGUGAAGACGGGUUGCUGGGCUGACACUGACGCUGAGGCGCGAAAGCCAGGGGAGCAAACGGGAUUAGAUACCCCGGUAGUCCUGGCCCUAAACGAUGAAUACUUGGUGUCUGGAGUUUAUAGUGCUCCGGGUGCCGUCGCUAACGUUUUUAGUAUUCCGCCUGGGGAGUACGCUCGCAAGAGUG
rnacentral:rRNA from 1 species